rnacentral:lncRNA from 1 species
CAGGGAAGAGGCCGAGGGGUCCUGGCAGAGAAAGGAGGCGCCUGAGGAAAUGGAGCCUGCAAUGAAACUCCUCUCAAAAACAACCCCCCAGCUAGGAGAGCAUAACCCCGCUUCCCAACCAGAGCUGCCCUUUUCUACUGUUGGGUAAUUACAAAGAUCACCCAAAUGUUUGGGAGAGACCACACAUUGCUUUUCCGGUUGUAUAAAUAUAAACGCAGCAGCUACCACAGCUCCUAGGGGUAUAAAUGAGAAGACAAGGAACAGAUCCCUUGCAGAGGGAGAGGGUGGCUGCCCACCCCCAUCGGCCCACACCCCUGUCACCCCUCCCCCAUCGCUCUCCCCACUGUCACCCCUCACCCCACUCCAACCCCUUUGCCUUGAGAACCACCUGAGGUCAGCCCACUUGUCAGUCAAAAGUGAACAAGGAGGUUGAGGGUGGUGGGAGGUCUCUUUCCUAUCUUGGGGCUUUGGAAGAUUCAGAUCACUUGGGAAGGGAUAACACUUCUUGCUUCCAUCUCCAACAUCUGGAUAUAUCUCCAACCUCUGGACGUGUGGACAUGGAGGGAGCUGAGCUCUCAGCCUUCUUCUGGAGGUUCGCCCAGGGCAUCUGGUGCCUUGGCCCAGUCCACCAGUCUUUGCCCAUCGCCAGCCAGCCUGUAAGUCUGCUCAGUGAGCACCUUGUGCAUGGUGUUUCCCUGGAGCAAUUGAGCUGUCUCUGUAGCAGGCCAUGGCUGAUGGCCAUAGCCUCCUUAGCAUGCCCGCAAGCCCCAGAGGAUUGUGACGCUCACUCUUUGGGUGGUCUCAAAUGUGAACAGUCAGACUGUAGAUGCUGGUGACUGAUUGUGUCAGGGAGAGUCAGCUAAUUCACCAAGGGCAGGUAGCUUGGGCUUCCAGUGGCCUGGCCUCCCAUGUCAAGCUCUAGGUUCUAACCCAUUUCUGCUCCUGUUGCCUGCAAAUUCUGUGGUCUGGUACCUGGUCCUCAGACUUUGGCUUCUCUGUCUGUGACGUGCUGCCACAAUGAGAGGUCCUUCUUCACAGGGUAGUCCUGAGGAUCAGAGGAGCUCGUGCCUGCCAAAGCCUGCCACGUGGCAAUUGUUCAAAAUGUUCAUACUCAGUAGUAAUCCUUUCUUGGGGAAUUUGUUUGGUCAUCGCGUAAGUCAGGGUCAGAAUUGGUUG